UUUCUGGAAUAUAAGCCUCCUGCUGUUGACAUGGAAAGCCUCUGAACAUCUUUACUAGGGAGGUUAUAAAGAUGAUUAGAAAUUUCUGCUGAUCCUGGAAGUGAAGCAUCGCUUGAAACUCUCCAUUUGCCUUUUGGAGGUGACCAGCCACUUCACCAAAGAAUACCUGCAGGAGUCUAUCAUACGUGCACUGAUUGAGAUGGAUCACAUGAGGAUAUGUAAAACCAGAGACUCGAAAAAUAGCAAACUGAACAUUUAGAUAAGGAAUCAAGGUGAAGAUGGAUAAACAUGCAAGUUUGAAAGAAAGCAGGAACAAGGCAAUCCAACUUGUAUUUUCUGUAAGCUGGCGGCAGAACAUUUAACUACCAGCUCCUGACAAGGUUUGGAAAACUCAUCAGUGGGAAAGCAGCCAAAACACUGCUCAAGCAUGGGUGGUCACCAGCAGCAAAGGAGGGAAAGCAAGCCAGAAAGAAAGAAGGAAAGAGAGAGUUUUUAUAUAAGUGCUUUCCCAUGAUGUUCUAGCUAUGUGCUUUCCUAAAGAAGUGUAACUGUCACCAUCCUGCUGAAAGCUCAAAUUAAGGUGAUGCAAUGAGGAAGCAUUUCAUAUUAAU